rnacentral:lncRNA from 1 species
UUCUGGUGGCGGAAUAAAGGUUAAUAUCAUCAAUGGGUGCAGUAGACAUCCACAUGGAUGAAUUAUAACGACGAAUUUCAUAGUCUUUCCCAGAUUGAAUCAAGUCAUAAUUCGGGCACUCAAUUCGGUUACAGCUUGGAGGAAAGAAAUCCAACUUCAGUGGCUGCAAUUGCCCAGAUUGAAUCAAGUCAUAAUUUGGGCACUCAAUUCGGUUACAGCUUGGGGGAUAGAAAUCCAACUUCACUGGCUGCAAGUUGUUUGUCGAAUACCCAUUGCUUAAUUUAGAAACGAGGAUCAGAAAGAAAGCUAGCCUCAUGAAGAAAUUCAUAACAGCCUGCAUCUUUUGUUUCUUUUUAGUGUUUUAGUUCAUAGAAAUUAUACGGAGAGAGAAUGAAGUGACCCGAAUGAACUAAUUUCCUCAGGCAUAAAAGAAAAAGGAAAUCAAUGAGGAGGUGUCCAGAGGUUUUGGUUAUGCCACGUCCUAGGUGACAUUAUCUGAAAACUCCAAAGUGUAAGAGUCUUUUCCACCUUUCAUUGAGGAUAAACGGGUAAAUUAACGAAGGCACAAUUGA